rnacentral:lncRNA from 1 species
AUGGAAGCAGCUGGUGAUCCCUUCUCGCUUCCAAGUACUCCAUGAAUGUAACAACUUGAUGUGACCUGAGUUCUUCUCUCCUCUCCUCUCCCUCCUCGUCAUCUUCCUUCUUCCCUCACCUCGCGCCCGCUGGCCAGAUGUUUCUCCACUCCCUCUUGAUGCAAAACAUGGCCAAGAACAGUACUGCACAGCAGCAGACGAGGUACGUACGCACGCACGGCACGCUUGCAUGCGCGCGCGCAAUUGGGCGUGCUUUGGUUUUUCAUGACGACGUACGGGGUUGGCUGAUGUGAUGCUUCCAUGCGAUGCGAGCGCGCAGGUCGAAAGAGAGCGGUGGCGGCGCGGGGAGAUCGAGAGGGAUGUCGUCCAAGAAGUCGCCGUGGUACCAGCGGGCGGUGGAGGUGCUACUGCUCAUAUGGAAGCAGCCGGCUGGUGCGGGGACGACGGCGACGACGAAGGCCGCGG